rnacentral:rRNA from 1 species
AGUAACAGAGGGUUUGAUUCUGGCUCAGAUUGAACGCUGGCGGAUGCUUUACACAUGCAAGUCGAACGGCAGCACGGACUUCGUCUGGUGGCGAGUGGCGAACGGGUGAGUAAUGUAUCGGAACGUGCCUAGUAGCGGGGGAUAACUACGCGAAAGCGUAGCUAAUACCGCAUACGCCCUUCGGGGGAAAGCGGGGACCUUCGGGCCUCGCACUAUUAGGAGCGGCCGGGAUGUCGGAUUAGGCCAGUUGGUGGGGUAACGGCCUUUACCUCAAGGCGACGAUCCGUAGCUGGUUUGAGAGGACGUGACCAGCCACACUGGGACUGAGACACGGCCCAGACUCCUACGGGAGGCAGUGGGGAAUUUUGGACAAUGGGGGAAACCCUGAUCCAGCCAUCCUGGCGUGUGCGAUGAAGGCCUUCGGGUUGUAAAGCACUUUUGGCAGGAAAGAAACGGCACGGAUAAUACCCGUGCAACUGACGGUACCUGCAGAAUAAGCACUGGCUGACCAUGCCAGCAGCCGCGGUAAUACGUAGGAUGCAAGCGUUAAUCGGAAUUACUGGGCGUAAAGCGUGCGCAGGCGGUUCGGAAAGAAAGAUGUGAAAUCCCAGAGCUUAACUUUGGAACUGCAUUUUUAACUACCGAGCUAGAGUGUGUCAGAGGGAGGUGGAAUUCCGCGUGUAGCAGUGAAAUGCGUAGAUAUGAGGAACACCAGAUGGCGAAGGCAGCUCUCCUGGGAUAACACUGACGCUCAUGCACGAAAGCGUGGGGAGCAAACACACAGGAUUAGAUACCCUGGUAGUCCACGCCCCAAACGAUGUCAACUAGCUGUUGGGGCCUUCGGGCCUUGGUAGCGCAGCUAACGCGCGGUUGACCGCCUGGGGAGUACGGUCGCAAGAUUAAAACUCAAAGGAAUUGACGGGACCCGCACAAGCGGUGAUGAUGUGGAUUAAUUCGAUGCAACGCGAAAAACCUUACCUACCCUUGACAUGUCUGAAUCCCGAAGAGAUUUGGGAGUGCUCGCAAGAGAACCGGAACACAGGUGCUGCAUGGCUGUCGUCAGCUCGUGUCGUGAGAUGUUGGGUUAAGUCCUACAACGAGCGCAACCUUUGUCAUUAGUUGCUACGAAAGGGCACUCUAAUGAGACUGCCGGUGACAAACCGGAGGAAGGUGGGGAUGACGUCAAGUCCUUCUCAUGGCCCUUAUGGGUAGGGCUUCACACGUCAUACAAUGGUCGGGACAGAGGGUCGCCAACCCGCGAGGGGAGCCAAUCCUAGAAACCCGAUCGGGGAAGUCCGGAUCGUAGUCUGCAACUCGACUGCGUGAAGUCGGAAUCGCUAGUAAUCGCGGAUCAGCAUGUCGCGGUGAAUACGUUCCCGGGUCUUGUACACACCGCCCGUCACACCAUGGGAGUGGGUUUUACCAGAAGUAGUUAGCCUAACCGUAUGAGGGCGAUUACCACGGUAGGAUUCAUGACUGGGGUGAAGUCGUAACAAGGU